CUUCGCGCCCCAGCCGCCCCAUGGACGGACUACAAGUCCCAGCAGGUUGUGCGGCCCGCGCAAGCGCGGGAGGGCCACGCCGCUCCGGCCCCCCGCAGCCGCUCGUGGGUCCCUGCGGAGCUGUCGCCGCGGCCUGGCUGGCGGCCUGGGGCUCUCGGGAGCUCUGUAGCGGAGAGGAAGGCGGCCGAGGGAAAAGCGAGCUUAGUGCAGCUCUUGUUGAGGCGUGGAGCUACAGGCGGCUGCAAGACCCUCUGGGCCAACCCUCUGUUUGCCCGGUUUGCAGAGGGAAACUGAGGCGGGGGCAAGGGCGCGCAGGAUUGCCUUUCCCCUCGUGAGCAGGGUAGGAUUCGGGCACGGGGCUCCUGACUCCAGGUCUAAGGCCGCACACCCCAGGCUCUGGCGCGCCGCCCCGGCUGGCGCCUUGGUCUGGCUCGACUGGCGCCCGGGGAGGGGGCGCGUCCCACGCCAGGGCAGUCCGGGCCCAGCCCCCGCUGUGACCGACUGCCCUCUGUGACGUCAGGUGCCCAGCACAGGGCGUGGGUCCGGGUACACGAGAGGGAAGGCCCCUGGGUGGGAGCAGGCUGAUCCCCCUGGGUGCCUGGUACUGACAAAUGCUGGGCUGUAGGGGUGCAGAGGGCCUGGCUGGAGGAGCAUUCAGGAGGCAGAAUCUCCCCGACCUGGUGCUGCAUAGGGAGGAGGGGCCGGGGCUAUUUGGAGAUGCUGUCAACAGGGACGAGGGCUGGCGGCAGAAAAUGCGGAGUCUGCAUGGAAUACUGAGCAUCCGAGUUUCCGUUCAGAGGCCACCAUCCCUCCGCCAUGUGGCCCCAGUAAGAAGUCCCCCACGGACUUCCCAGUAAGCUGGCCCCAGCUCCGAAGGUUCUGACGGGUCUAAGGGUGACCCCAUCCCCCUGGAGACAAAGAUCAGCUACACCAGACAGCAGCCAGCAUUCCCUGGACACAGGACUUUCUCCAGGAACGGCAUACGACCCAGUUCAGAGCAAUGGGAUGUGAGUGGUGGCUUGCUGAGGAAUGCUGGAGAGGAUGCUCCUCCCGUUUAGGAGAGAAGAUCCCCUGUCUCCUGGUCUGGAUGUACACCACUGACAGCUGUUGCAAUUUUGUUUCCACACUGACAACCUGAGAAGGAAGCCAGCACCGAGAGGAAAUCGUGGAGAAGUGGGGCCAGAGCCCCUGGAUCGAGCCAAACCUGAGGCCCAUCUACCUCUGGACUUCCAGGUCCAUGAGCCAAAGAAGCCCUUAUUUGAGCCACUUGGACUUGAGUUUUUUGUUGUUUAUGACACCCUAAAACCCCCAAGCCGUCAGUGUUGGGAGGCCUCCUGAGGAAGAGGUCUCAGACCAAGGGUCCCAUUUUGCAUCAAGGAAUGUGUGACAUUGACCCCCAGACCAUGGGUUCUGCUUGUCCUGCCACAAACCACAUCUCUGGGAAGCUGCCAGCUGACAGAAUGCCGCCCCCCCCCCCCCCCCCAAGCCUCAGCACAGGGACUGUCCACUGCGGGUCUGGGCUGUUUUCCAGGAUGCAGCAUGUGCACUGAACCAACGGGCAGUGCGCCGAGUCCAGAACAAGGGGUCAAAGCGCCAUAGAUCUCCGGGGGAGCAAGCCCCAGGAGUCUGCAGGGGUGGCCCACUCGAUAAUGCCACCGUCGUCGCUGCCCUCCGCCUGCGGCCCUCUCCUCUGCCCCACUCCUGUCCCUGGGGUCACUUUCACAGUCGACUUCCUCCUCAAAGCCCUGUCUGCCUUUCCGGAGUGAGUGGGGCUGGGGAGGGAGACCGGGCCACGACAGGGAGGGUCAGGGAGCCAGCAGAAGGAGAGGGGGCUGCCAAGGCUGGUGGGGCCCGUCCUGGAGGAGCCGUGAAUGCCAGGCACAGAUCCGGCAGCUGGGCUUCUUGGAAUGCUAGCCAAGCAAGAGGCUGAGUCUCAGGCCUGAGCCAUUCGAGGAACUGCAGCUGUGGACUGGACCUGAGAGAGACAGAGACGACAGAGACCCCGGCCAUCACACAGGCACAGGGAG
ensembl:lncRNA